GCAACCUGCCCAAAAGAGGGGGAUAACACUUGGAAACAGGUGCUAAUACCGCAUAACCAUAGUUACCGCAUGGUAGCUAUGUAAAAGGUGGCUAUGCUACCGCUUUUGGAUGGGCCCGCGGCGCAUUAGCUAGUUGGUGGGGUAAAGGCUUACCAAGGCAAUGAUGCGUAGCCGAACUGAGAGGUUGAUCGGCCACAUUGGGACUGAGACACGGCCCAAACUCCUACGGGAGGCAGCAGUAGGGAAUCUUCCACAAUGGGCGAAAGCCUGAUGGAGCAACGCCGCGUGGGUGAAGAAGGUCUUCGGAUCGUAAAACCCUGUUGUUAGAGAAGAAAGUGCGUGAGAGUAACUGUUCACGUUUCGACGGUAUCUAACCAGAAAGCCACGGCUAACUACGUGCCAGCAGCCGCGGUAAUACGUAGGUGGCAAGCGUUAUCCGGAUUUAUUGGGCGUAAAGGGAACGCAGGCGGUCUUUUAAGUCUGAUGUGAAAGCCUUCGGCUUAACCGGAGUAGUGCAUUGGAAACUGGGAGACUUGAGUGCAGAAGAGGAGAGUGGAACUCCAUGUGUAGCGGUGAAAUGCGUAGAUAUAUGGAAGAACACCAGUGGCGAAAGCGGCUCUCUGGUCUGUAACUGACGCUGAGGUUCGAAAGCGUGGGUAGCAAACAGGAUUAGAUACCCUGGUAGUCCACGCCGUAAACGAUGAAUGCUAAGUGUUGGAAGGGUUCCGCCCUUCAGUGCUGCAGCUAACGCAAUA
rnacentral:rRNA from 1 species